rnacentral:rRNA from 1 species
UACGUAGGGGCCUAGCGUUGUCCGGAAUUAUUGGGCGUAAAGAGCUCGUAGGCGGUUUGUCACGUCGGAUGUGAAAACCCGAGGCUUAACCUCGGGCCUGCAUUCGAUACGGGCUGACUAGAGUUCGGUAGGGGAGACUGGAAUUCCUGGUGUAGCGGUGAAAUGCGCAGAUAUCAGGAGGAACACCGGUGGCGAAGGCGGGUCUCUGGGCCGAUACUGACGCUGAGGAGCGAAAGCGUGGGGAGCGAACAGG